UAUGGUGAAUUGCUGAUGAACCAAUCACAUGCUGGAUUAAAAUUAGAUAAUUAAAUAGAUAUAUACAUCAUAUAAUCAUCUAAGAAAAAAAAUGAUUUCAAAGACAACUUUCGUAUGCAUCCUCAUGGUCUCCCUCUUUGCCAUAGGUCGAUGCAGGCAGUUGGAUGUGGGUGAAAUAAAGAGUUCAAGCAACUUCAUUUUUGAAAAGUGUGUCCGUGACCGUUGUGGAAAAGAGGAGUGUUGGUGCUGUGUGGUUGAUCCACUUCGUCCUUGUAAGAAAACCGAUAAAGAAUGCAAUGCCGAUGGCAAAUGUCCUAUACCAUGGAGUUAAUGAAUAAUUUAGUAAAAUAAAGAUAACUGUUA